rnacentral:rRNA from 1 species
UACGUAGGGUGCAAGCGUUGUCCGGAAUUAUUGGGCGUAAAGAGCUCGUAGGCGGUUCGUCGCGUCGGCUGUGAAAACCCGGAGCUCAACUCCGGGCCUGCAGUCGAUACGGGCGGACUCGAGUUCGGCAGGGGAGACUGGAAUUCCGGGUGUAGCGGUGGAAUGCGUAGAGAUCCGGAAGAACACCGGUGGCGAAGGCGGUCUGCUGGGGUAAUGCUGACACUGAUGCGCGACAGCGUGGGGAGCAAACAGG